CGCCCCGUCGAGCUCCCGGCCGGCUCCCCUGCCCGCCCCGCGCCUCCGGGCACCCUGCCGGCCCCCUGCCUCCUGCCCCCCGCCCGACGGCCCCCAAGGCCCCCGCGGCCGGGCAUGAUGUGCCUGGAGGGCGGCUCGGCGGCGGGCAGCGGCGGGGCGGCGGGCUGCGCGGAGGAGGAGGAGGAGGACGCGGCGGUGGCGGUGGCGGCGGCCGGCCCGGAUCUGGAGCAGCAUCGCCGCGACCGGGGCCGAGGCAGGAGCUGGGCUGGCGGGGGGCCGGGCCGGGGCCGGCGCUGCGGCGGGGCCGGGGCUGGGCCCAGGGCCGAGGGCGGCUGCUGGCCCCACGACGAGGUGCAGACGCUGUCGGGAAGCGUGCAGCGGGCGCCCCCCGGGCCCGGACCCACCACCGUCCCCGCCUGUCCAGAGGUCGGCGCCCCGACGGCCUCCAAGGGCCCGGUCCCCGGCGGCUCGCAGCCCAAGCCCCGCCUGGGCCGUGCGCGAGUGGCCGCCGCCGCCAUCCUCAGCGUGGGCAACGUCCUCAACUACCUGGACAGGUACACCGUGGCAGGCGUUCUCCUGGACAUUCAGCAGCACUUUGGAGUCAAGGACCGAGGGGCUGGCCUGCUACAGUCAGUGUUCAUCUGCAGCUUCAUGGUGGCAGCCCCCAUCUUUGGGUAUCUGGGUGACCGCUUCAACAGGAAGGUCAUCCUGAGCUGUGGGAUCUUCUUCUGGUCUGCAGUCACCUUCUCGAGUUCCUUCAUCACACAGCAGUAUUUCUGGCUCCUGGUCCUCUCAAGGGGCUUGGUCGGGAUUGGAGAAGCCAGCUACUCCACCAUCGCCCCCACCAUCAUCGGUGACCUCUUCAACAAGAACACGAGGACUCUCAUGUUGUCCAUCUUCUACUUCGCCAUCCCGCUGGGCAGUGGCCUGGGCUACAUCACUGGUUCAAGUGUGAAGCAGGUGGCCGGAGACUGGCAUUGGGCCCUGAGGGUGUCCCCAGUCAUGGGCAUGAUCACCGGAACACUCAUCCUCCUUUUUGUCCCCGCUGCGAGGAGGGGGCACGUGGAACAGCUUGGGGGGCAGCUGAAGGCCCGCACCUCCUGGAUCCGGGACAUGAGAGCGCUGAUCCGAAAUCGCAGUUACGUCUUCUCCUCUCUGGCCACAUCCGCUGUCUCCUUUGCCACUGGAGCCCUGGGCAUGUGGAUCCCCCUAUACUUACACCGGGCCCAGGUUGUGCAGAAGACCACAGAGACCUGCAGCAACCAGCCCUGUGAAACCCGGGACAGGCCUCAGGGCAUCCUCUGUUCCUUUAGCCUCAUCUUUGGGGCCAUCACUUGCUUCACGGGCUUCCUGGGGGUGAUCACGGGGGCUGGAGCUACCAAAUGGUGCCGCCUGAAGACCCAGCGGGCAGACCCCCUCGUGUGCGCAGUGGGCAUGCUGGGCUCAGCCAUCUUCAUCUGUCUCAUCUUCGUGGCAGCCAAGACCAGCAUCCUGGGAGCCUACAUCUGCAUCUUCAUUGGUGAGACCCUGCUCUUCUCCAACUGGGCCAUCACAGCAGACAUCUUGAUGUACGUGGUCAUCCCUACCCGCCGAGCGACUGCUGUGGCUCUCCAGAGUUUCACAUCUCACCUGCUGGGAGACGCGGGAAGCCCCUACCUCGUUGGCUUUAUCUCUGACCUGAUCCGCCAGAGCACCCGUGAGUCCUCGCUCUGGGAGUUCCUCAGCCUGGGCUAUGCCCUCAUGCUCUGCCCCUUCGUGGUGGUCCUGGGCGGCAUGUUCUUCCUCGCCACGGCCCUCUUCUUCCUCAGUGACCGAGCCAAGGCCGAGCAGCAGGGCCCUCGGGAGUUAGCCAGCUGAGUGUGGCAUCCAGGGUGAAUCAGCUGAUGAUGCCCCCAGCAUCAGUGAAAGUCUGAACAGGGUAUCCUGGGAGCAAGACACGCUGAGAAGGCUGGGCCCUGAAGAAACCACCGCAGCCCUGCCCUGGCCCGUCCGAAGUGGGCAGGGCAGGGGGCCGGGUUCAGCCUCCAGCUCCCCUGCUUGUGCCCCCAAAGGCAGGAAAGUGGUCAGGAGGAGGAACAGGAGCUGGCGUUACCCGGCAGUACGGAUAGGCAAAGGACAGACGCGUUUGUCAAGACACUCAGUUUGCUGAGGAAGGGCCCCCGAGCCCAGGCCUCCCCUGGGGGGCAGGAGAUGCCACAGACACACACUUGACACGUAUGGCCCACGAAUGAAUGUGUAUGUGUGUGUGGCCUGCAAAGAUGGCGGCACUGGCCCCCCAGAGAAGCUGUCCCGGACACCGGCAGGAUGCGCAGGCUGGGGUCCACAGGAGCCUAAGGGGGUGGGGCGGAGAAGAGAAGCUGGUGGUGGCUUCAGCCAGGCCUGCCCACCCUCAGCCCCUGGCAGCUACAGGAAGCUGCCGUCGUCCCCCCCCCUCCCCCCGCUGGCUCCACAUGGAUGAGGAGGGGCCACAUCCUGAGGUGCUCCGGCUCCCAGGAUCCUCCCUGCCUCUCCCCCUACAUUCCAUCACUCAGCAUCUUGGCCUGGAUCUCUUCUCAUGUAGCAGUUUUGGGGAGGUGAUAAUGGGAGCCCACGUUGGGGAGCCACCUCGUCUGGUAUCCCACGGCUGCCCGCAGCUGCCCAGUGCUGGCUCUGAAACCUUGUGAAGUGGGCAGCGUGCCUGGUGCUUGCCCUUGGCCUCACCUACCUGCUCUCUCCCCUCAGGGAGGGAAGGGGCUGGGCUGGGGCACUUGCCAGGCAGAAGCAAGGUGAGGGACUUGUGGGAGGAGCUGACAGAGGCUGGGCCUCAAGGCCUGACAGCCUGGCUUGGUGUCCUGCCCUGCCCAGACCCUGAGACCUCCUCCCACCCCCUCAGCUACUUCCUGGAAGAGCCAUUUCCCAAACUCUGGGGCACUUUCAGGAACCAGAGCCGAUUUCUGCCAGGGGGUCGGGGGCCAAGGGAAGAAGUUCGGCCCGUCUCCAACCCUUGUCCCCACGCGGGCAGAGGCUUUGGGCUCCGAGGGGUGGCCGGGUCAGCUGGCUUGGGAAGUCCCCUGAGCAAGGAAGGGAAGCCAGAAGUCAGCAGGAUUUCUCCGUUGUGGGAACGACCCUAACCCGAGACAAGCAGCUGGGCCCUCUGUGGCCUCCAGAGUCCAAGGCCUGCACUCAGCUGGCACCUAGUGAGCACUCCCAGCACCGGGCUUUGUGCAGGUUCUCCCAAGGCUGCCAGGCCCUCUCCUACCCAUGCCUCUUCUUGGUCUCGUCCUUGCUUUAGCUCAGCUGGCCUGACUCCCCACCUCAUUUCCCGGAAGGGCAGGUCAGAAGGGGGUGGCCUGCCAACAGCAAACCCCAUGAUCCCAGAGAAAUGCCCUCCGUCCUAAGGCCCAUUUCUGCAGCAGUCCUCCCCCAGAUGUCCCCAAGAAGCCGUCACCAUCAAGAUCAGCCAGAAAGGGGCGUAGCUGCCCCCAUGAGGCCCCCUGACAGUCAGUGACAGGACACCAUCCCAUGGCAGCUAGAGAUCGAGAUCCUGCCGCCGGGCAUGCAUGUGUGCCUGUCUGUGCCCACAUCCACUCUGUCAGAAGCCCAACACCCAGACGAGUCUCCUUGGAAUGCUGCACCCACAUCUCCCUGAUGGAGUGCAGCCUUGGCAGGGCCUCAGGAGCC